UCCUGGCCAGAGCUAUAUCUCCCUGCAGAUCUCUUCUGGUGUCCUACUGAAGGAAAGCAGGGUUGAGCCUGAUCAGUACCUGGACGGGAGACCACCUGUUGAAAACUAAAGUUGCUGCAGGAA
rnacentral:rRNA from 1 species